rnacentral:ncRNA from 1 species
GUUUCGGGGCGGAGUGAAAUUCUCCACCGGCGGUGAAAGCCCGCGCGCGCUUUGGCGCUGACCCGGUGUGAUUCCGGGGCCGACGGUAUAGUCCGGAUGAAAGAAA